rnacentral:rRNA from 1 species
UUUAGUUCAAACCCCCGAAACUAAGUGAGCUACCCCGAGACAGCCUAUCAAUUAGGGCCAACCCAUCUCUGUGGCAAAAGAGUGGGAAGAGCUCCGGGUAGAGGUGACAAACCUACCGAACUUAGUUAUAGCUGGUUACCUAAGAAAUGAAUAAAAGUUCAGCCUCGCACUCCUUGCCUCACAAACAUCUAAAGCCUACACGAGCCAAAGAAAGAUGCGAGAGUUAGUCAAAGGGGGUACAGCCCCUUUGAAACAGGACACAACCUCACACAGGAGGUUAAAGAUUAUACUAAACAAGAUACACCGCUUUAGUGGGCCUAAAAGCAGCCACCUAAACAGAUAGCGUUAAAGCUCCAGCGGACUAAAAAUCUAUUAUCCAAAUAAUUUAUCUAAAACCCCUAACAAUAUUAGGUCGCCCCAUGCCUACAUGGAAAAGAUACUGCUAAAAUGAGUAAUAAGAAGGAACCCCCUUCUCCUAGCCUACGUGUAUAUUAGAUCGGACCCCCCACUAAUAAUUAUCGAACCCAACCAAAGAGGGUAAUGUGACCACACUAAACAACAAGAAAACAUCACACCACCAAAUCGUUAAUCCCACACCGGAAGGCCCACAAGGAAAGACUAAAAGAAAAGGAAGGAACUCGGCAAACCCAAGCCUCGCCUGUUUACCAAAAACAUCGCCUUCUGCAAAAUCAAUGUAUAGGAGGUCCUACCUGCCCAGUGACAAGUUAAACGGCCGCGGUAUUUUGACCGUGCGAAGGUAGCGCAAUCACUUGUCUUUUAAAUGAAGACCUGUAUGAAUGGUGGAACGAGGGCUUAACUGUCUCCCCUUUCCAGUCAAUGAAAUUGAUCUGCCCGUGCAGAAGCGGACAUAUUAAUACAAGACGAGAAGACCCUUUGGAGCUUAAGAUAAAAGAUCAACUAUGUCAAGAAACUAAGAACAUAGCUUAAACUAAGUAGCGACUGAUCCUUGUCUUCAGUUGGGGCGACUGCGGAAGAAAACAAAGCUUCCACGAGGAUUGGGACAAAUAUCCUAAAGCCGAGAAAGACACUUCUAAGCCACAGAACAUCUGACCAUAUAAGAUCCGGCCACCAGCCGAUCAACGGACCAAGUUACCCUAGGGAUAACAGCGCAAUCCCCUUUCAGAGUUCAUAUCGACAAGGGGGUUUACGACCUCGAUGUUGGAUCAGGACAUCCUAAUGGUGCAGCCGCU